rnacentral:rRNA from 1 species
UACGAAGGGGGCUAGCGUUGCUCGGAAUCACUGGGCGUAAAGCGCACGUAGGCGGACUCUUAAGUCGGUGGUGAAAUCCUGGAGCUCAACUCCAGAACUGCCUUCGAUACUGAGAGUCUCGAGUCCGAGAGAGGUGAGUGGAACUGCGAGUGUAGAGGUGAAAUUCGUAGAUAUUCGCAAGAACACCAGUGGCGAAGGCGGCUCACUGGCUCGGUACUGACGCUGAGGUGCGAAAGCGGUGGGGAGCAAACAGG